rnacentral:rRNA from 1 species
AGUGAACGCUGGCGGUAGGCCUAACACAUGCAAGUCGAACGGCAGCACAGGAGAGCUUGCUCUCUAGGUGGCGAGUGGCGGACGGGUGUGGAAUACAUCGGAAUCUGCCCAGUCGUGGGGGAUAACGUAGGGAAACUUACGCUAAUACCGCAUACGACCUUCGGGUGAAAGAGGGGGAUCGCAAGACCUCUCGCGAUUGGAUGAGCCGAUGUCGGAUUAGCUAGUUAGCGGGGUAAUGGCCCACCAAGGCGACGAUCCGUAGCUGGUCUGAGAGGAUGAUCAGCCACACUGGAACUGAGACACGGUCCAGACUCCUACGGGAGGCAGCAGUGGGGAAUAUUGGACAAUGGGCGCAAGCCUGACCCAGCCAUACCGCGUGGGUGAAGAAGGCCUUCGGGUUGUAAAGCCCUUUUGUUGGGAAAGAAAUCUUUCAGGCUAAUACCCUGGGAGGAUGACGGUACCCAAAGAAUAAGCACCGGCUAACUUCGUG